rnacentral:rRNA from 1 species
UACGAAGGGGGCUAGCGUUGCUCGGAAUCACUGGGCGUAAAGCGCACGUAGGCGGAUUGUUAAGUCAGGGGUGAAAUCCUGGAGCUCAACUCCAGAACUGCCUUUGAUACUGACGGUCUUGAGUCCGGGAGAGGUGAGUGGAACUCCGAGUGUAGAGGUGAAAUGCGUAGAGAUGUGGAGGAACACCAGUGGCGAAGGCGACUCUUUGGCCUGUAACUGACACUGAGGCGCGAAAGCGUGGGGAGCAAACAGG